rnacentral:rRNA from 1 species
UACGGAGGGGGCUAGCGUUGUUCGGAAUUACUGGGCGUAAAGCGCGUGUAGGCGGCCAGGUAAGUCCGUUCUGAAAGCCCGGGGCUCAACCCCGGGAGGCGGAUGGAUACUGCUUGGCUCGAGUCCGGAAGAGGCGAGUGGAAUUCCCGGUGUAGCGGUGAAAUGCGCAGAUAUCGGGAGGAACACCAAUGGCGAAGGCAGCUCGCUGGGACGGUACUGACGCUGAGACGCGAAAGCGUGGGGAGCAAACAGG